UUGCAGUGGAGAAUGCUUGUGCCUGCGAAAGUCUACCACCAGUUCCUUGGUUUUACUGGCGUUGAUCUGGAGGUAGUUCUGCUGGCACCAGUCCACAAAUUCUUGAGUCAGAUGCGUUCUGGUGCAAUAAGCUGUACGUUUUACGUCCAAUGGAUGCAUGAUCUGAUUAGUCGACUAAUCGCAAAAAUAAUCGGUGACUAGUCGACUAUCAAAAUAAUCGUUUGUGGCAGCCCUAACUGUAACUGUGCUGCAGAUUUGAAAAUUAAAAAUAAUUUGAGUUACAGGUGCAGUUGUGCUUUUCUAUUUGUGGUCUAUCCUUUUUUAUAUUCUCUAUUGUCUUUGUUUCUCUUUUCUGUCUGUCAGCUUUGACAUUGUUAUAUUACAUAUAUACUGUGAGUAAUAAUAGAAAUUAAUACAUUAUAUUAAAAACCAUACAAACAAGAGGAGUCUGUACAGACUUUCUAGAGCUUGUCUUGGAAAAGCAAAUCUGUUUGGCACAACGGUGCAUUCAGAUCAUAAUUCAGAUUGCAGAGCCAGACAGGACCGGCUAAAACAUAUCUAAUACAAAAGAAAUGAGCAUUGAGUUUAGAACAUGUACUCAUCAGGUCAUAUCCAUUUAAGUCAGAAUGUGCUCAGAGUUUAAAUAUGUGGCAACAGUUUUUGAUUCAAAGCCAAAGUUGUGUGCUUCAAAGGGAACCAGUGCCUUUCAUGUUUGAGACAUCUUUCUCGUUUCCACAUUGAUAACAUCAUGUUGGUUUCAUAUUAUCGAGCUUAUGUUGAAUCUCUUCUAUGAUUUUCCUUGGUGUCUUGGACAUUUGUCAGGAAAUGAAGCGAUCUAACAGCUGAUUGGUUUAUCAGUGCUGAACCAUCACCACAUUACAGCAGACACAUACAGCAGUUAACUGCUUCAAUGUUUCUUGAUGACUCAACAUACUUUUGCAGUUUGUUCCUCCUUCCCUCUUCCUUCUGGACAAAGGUUUCUGUUCCCAGAAUGAAUAACAAAAAAAAAGAAAAAAAAAAAGCUUUGCAUCACUCAGAUCAAUGAAUCAUAGCUUUGUUGCUUUGUGGGUUACGUGAUGCUCAGAACCUGACUGUAUUAGGUGAGACAGAAACGGUCAGCUUCAUCAGGUGUUAGUAAUCCUGAUCUAAAAUCAUUGGUUUUCUUUGUGUUUUUCCAGAUGUUGUCAGGCUGUUCUUCCUGUUAGAAACUCCAUCAUCCCAAAUCUCAGGGGCAUGCUCUUCUUUUGGACCAUGGAAACUUUUACCCAGGAGCCAGGAUGUGUCCUGUAACUGAAAAUAGGACUGCGUCCUUAAAGCGCACCAAGUCAUUACAAGACCUUAUAAAUUUUGACAGAGGACAAGGUCCUGCUACUGCAGAAAGGGACAGGUUUCGUCUUUUGGACCAAGGAAACUUUGAGCCUGCCAGAUCAGAUGUCUCCAAAAGGAAACCUGUGAAUGUUGCCGCAUUUCUGGUACGCACUCUUAAGAUACAUCACAGCAUUGUAAGAUGAAGAAAGAUCUACCCUUAGGCCCCCUCCUCUAUUCGGAGAUGGUUGUUUCCUUUUCAUGUAAAGGGCCUCCUUGACUCCACGCUCAAACCAGCGAUCUACUCAGAUCGACACGCCACAACUUGAAUAAGAUUGGCUGGUUUUGUAUUGCAAUCCAGUACCUCCUAAUGUGCAUGAUCGUCACAGCAAUGCUACUGUGUGCCCCGUGAUGUAAUUAGUAUGUGACACAAAUGCUACAACAAAGGUGGACGUUGAGGCAAGAAUAUAUCUGAUGCUUGGUCUGUGACUUUCGUCAGACUAGGGGAACAGGGCCUUGUUUUUGCAGCCAUUUCCCUCAUUCACGGAUUUCAGAAAUUGGCAGUUUUAAUUUUCUUGAGAUGCUCUUAUGACCCGUUGAGUGACACCACUGCCCAGCCAAUCAGUCUCACGAUGUCACAUUUUAGUAUCGUUCAGAUUGGUUUGAACGCCGGCAGAGGAGCUCCUUUUUUACUAAUGGAAAAGGGGCUCAAGUGACAGCCUAGGCCAAAAGCGGGAGGUAGUGAGCCGGUUGAGAAUGAUCAUUAAGCAUUUUGGGGUUUUAAUUUUACUAGUUUUUGAGAUAUUAAUGUUCAAUCAUGGCCUAAGAUUUCAAUUUGUGAAACAAUGUCUGAAAGUGGGUCGGCAAACAAAUAUCUUCAAGAAAAAAAAACAAUAUGUAGAGUACACCCCUCACAUUUUUGUAAAUAUUUUAUUACAUCUUUUAGUAGGACAACAUUGAAGACAUGACUCUUUGAUACAAUGUAAGGUAGUCAGUCUACAGCUUGUUUAACAGUGUAAAUUUGCUGUUAUCUCAAAAUAACUCAACAUACGGCCAUUAUUGCCUAAACCGCUGGCAACAAAAGUGAGUACACCCCUAAGUAAAAAUGUCUAAACUGAGCCCAAUUGGCCAUUUUCCCUCCCUGGUGUCAUGUGACUCGUUAGUGUUACAAGGUCUCAGGUGCAAAUGGGGAAACAGAUGUGUUUGAAUUUGGUGUUAUUGCUCUCACACCCUCUCAUGCUGGUCACUGAAAGUUUAACAUGGCAAAGAAUUCUCUGAGGGUUUGAAAAUAAGAAUUGUUGCUCUACAUAAAGAUGGCCUAGGAUAUAAAAAUAAUGCCAACACCCUGAAACUGAGCUGCAGCACAGCGGUCAAAACCAUACAGCGGUUUAACAGGACAGGUUCCACUCAGAACAAACCUUGCCAUGGUCAACCAAAGAAGUUGAGUGCACGUGCUCAGCGUCAUAUCCAGAGGUUGUCUUUUGAAAAUAGAUGUAUAAAUGCUGCCAGCAUUGCUGCAGUGGCUGAAGGUGUGGAGGUUGAGCCUGUCAGUGCUCAGACCAUACGCAGCACACUGCAUCAAAUGGCUGUUGUCCUAGAAGGAAGCCUCUUCUAAAGAUAAUGCACAAGAAAGCCCGCAAACAGUUUGCUGAAGACAAGCAGACUAAGUACAUGGAUUACCUGUGGUCUGAUGAGACCAAGGCAAACUUAUUUGGCUCAGUUGGUGUCAGGGGUUUGUGGAGGCAACCAGGUGAAGAGUACAAAGGUAAGUGUUUCUUGCCUACAGUCAAGCAUGGUGUUUGGGAUGACAUUGUUUGGGGCUGCAUGAGUGCUGCUGGCACUGGGGGGCUACAGUUAAUUGAGGGAACCCUGAAUGCCAACAUGUACUGUGCCAUACUUAAGUAAAGUAGAGCAUGAUCCCCCUCCCUUCAGAAACUGGGCCACUGGACAGUAUUCCAACAUGAUAACAACCCCAACAUUUUCACUUAAGGGUGUACUCACAUUUGUUGCCAGCGGUUUAGAUGUUAAUGGCUGUAUGAGUUAUUUUAAGGGGACAGCAAAUUUACACUGUUAUACAAGCUGUACACCAACUGCUUCACAUUGUAUCAAAGUGUCAUAUCUUCUCUUAGAGUGUUAACUUGUUGACUCUUGGUGGCGCUGUCACUUGGUGUUCGCUUGCUCUGUGGUAGAGUAUCACUUCCUCUUCCUGCUCAAACACAGUGGUGUUUCUGAGUAGCUUAUCUGCUUAGCAAUUUAAUUUAAAACUUUUAAAUACAUUCUGUUUUCAUAGUAUAAUCUUCACGUGCUUCAUCUGAAGCACACUUUCUCUGUACUCACUACCUAAUUUAUAGCCAAAGUAUUCACUCACUGUCUCUG